rnacentral:snRNA from 1 species
AGCAUUCAGUGGCAGUAUCGUAGCCAAUGAGGUUUAUCCGAGGCGCGAUUAUUGCUAAUUGAAAGAAAAAGAAGAGAAAAAUAAUGGGUAUUACUAUAACUGUUCAACAUUCUUCUGUAGGUCCUAGCCAGUG